UUGCUCCCGGAUGUUAGCGGCGGACGGGUGAGUAACACGUGGGUAACCUGCCUGUAAGACUGGGAUAACUCCGGGAAACCGGAGCUAAUACCGGAUAGUUCCUUGAACCGCAUGGUUCAAGGAUGAAAGACGGUUUCGGCUGUCACUUACAGAUGGACCCGCGGCGCAUUAGCUAGUUGGUGAGGUAACGGCUCACCAAGGCGACGAUGCGUAGCCGACCUGAGAGGGUGAUCGGCCACACUGGGACUGAGACACGGCCCAGACUCCUACGGGAGGCAGCAGUAGGGAAUCUUCCGCAAUGGACGAAAGUCUGACGGAGCAACGCCGCGUGAGUGAUGAAGGUUUUCGGAUCGUAAAGCUCUGUUGUUAGGGAAGAACAAGUGCAAGAGUAACUGCUUGCACCUUGACGGUACCUAACCAGAAAGCCACGGCUAACUACGUGCCAGCAGCCGCGGUAAUACGUAGGUGGCAAGCGUUGUCCGGAAUUAUUGGGCGUAAAGGGCUCGCAGGCGGUUUCUUAAGUCUGAUGUGAAAGCCCCCGGCUCAACCGGGGAGGGUCAUUGGAAACUGGGAAACUUGAGUGCAGAAGAGGAGAGUGGAAUUCCACGUGUAGCGGUGAAAUGCGUAGAGAUGUGGAGGAACACCCGAAGGCGACUCUCUGGUCUGUAACUGACGCUGAGGAGCGAAAGCGUGGGGAGCGAACAGGAUUAGAUACCCUGGUAGUCCACGCCGUAAACGAUGAGUGCUAAGUGUUAGGGGGUUUCCGCCCCUUAGUGCUGCAGCUAACGCAUUAAGCACUCCGCCUGGGGAGUACGGUCGCAAGACUGAAACUCAAAGGAAUUGACGGGGGCCCGCACAAGCGGUGGAGCAUGUGGUUUAAUUCGAAGCAACGCGAAGAACCUUACCAGGUCUUGACAUCCUCUGACAACCCUAGAGAUAGGGCUUUCCCUUCGGGGACAGAGUGACAGGUGGUGCAUGGUUGUCGUCAGCUCGUGUCGUGAGAUGUUGGGUUAAGUCCCGCAACGAGCGCAACCCUUGAUCUUAGUUGCCAGCAUUCAGUUGGGCACUCUAAGGUGACUGCCGGUGACAAACCGGAGGAAGGUGGGGAUGACGUCAAAUCAUCAUGCCCCUUAUGACCUGGGCUACACACGUGCUACAAUGGACAGAACAAAGGGCUGCGAGACCGCAAGGUUUAGCCAAUCCCACAAAUCUGUUCUCAGUUCGGAUCGCAGUCUGCAACUCGACUGCGUGAAGCUGGAAUCGCUAGUAAUCGCGGAUCAGCAUGCCGCGG
rnacentral:rRNA from 1 species